rnacentral:rRNA from 1 species
CCUACGGGUGGCAGCAGUCGAGAAUCAUUCACAAUGGGGGAAACCCUGAUGGUGCGACGCCGCGUGGGGGAAUGAAGGUCUUCGGAUUGUAAACCCCUGUCAUGUGGGAGCAAAUUAAAAAGAUAGUACCACAAGAGGAAGAGACGGCUAACUCUGUGCCAGCAGCCGCGGUAAUACAGAGGUCUCAAGCGUUGUUCGGAAUCACUGGGCGUAAAGCGUGCGUAGGCUGUUUCGUAAGUCGGGUGUGAAAGGCGCGGGCUCAACCCGCGGACGGCACAUGAUACUGCGAGACUAGAGUAAGGGAGGGGGAACCGGAAUUCUCGGUGUAGCAGUGAAAUGCGUAGAUAUCGAGAGGAACACUCGUGGCGAAGGCGGGUUCCUGGACAUUAACUGACGCUGAGGCACGAAGGCCAGGGGAGCGAAAGGGAUUAGAUACCCGGGUAGUC